CUCUCUCUCUCUCUCUCUCUCUCUCUCUCUCUCUCUCUCUCUCUCUCUCUCUCUCUCUCUCUCUCUCUCUCUCUCUCUCUCUCUCUCACCAAUUGAAGCUUCUUUGGUUUUCUUGAGAUUUUGGUUAAAAAAUUUGUGUCUUGGAGUUAAAUCUCGUAGAAAUUAUUGGUACCAACUGAGGAGCACUUGAGGCAACCAUGAGUUCGAGGGUUUUGAAGAUGACUUGUACAUGUUCUGGCCAAGCUAGACCACAAGGGUUGGGUCUAUUAGGGAAUUGUAUAGAAAUUCCAUUUUACUGUUAGGUCGGCCUGUAUGAAAUAACUUGUAAUAUUUUGAAAACAAAUUUUACGAGAUCUCAGAUAUGUAACUUUAAAUAUUUUGGUUUAAAAUAAAGUGUGUAUUAUUGCAA